ACGGAGCAUUCUCCAUCCUUGGGCUACAUUGGCUGAAGAAGACUUCCUCUGCAAUUGCUGCUCUGGGCCACUGUGUUGCUGGGCACCAGAACUGAGAGCAGGGAGCCUCUGCCUGUUCUCUCAGUGCUCCCCUGCUUACACCCAGAGAUUGGCUAAUUCCUCACCUACAGCAGUAAGAGCAAUCUGCAGAUGAUGAUCUAAAUUCCCGUAGCUCCAUAAUGGUGAAGAAUACAGCUUUUACUGCUUUCUGAAGACACGUUGUAAAACAUACCAAGUUAGGAAGAAUUUGCAAACACGCUGGAGGA